rnacentral:rRNA from 1 species
CACGGGGGGAGCAAGCGUUGUUCGGAAUCACUGGGCGUAAAGGGCGUGUAGGCGGUCAGGCAAGUGAGAUGUGAAAUGCCCCGGCUCACCCGGGGACCGGCAUCUCAUACUGCUUGGCUUGAGUAAGGGAGAGGAUGUGGGAAUUCCUGGUGUAGCGGUGAAAUGCGUAGAUAUCAGGAGGAACACCGGUGGCGAAGGCGGCUUCCUGGACCGACACUGACGCUGAGGCGCGAAAGCUAGGGGAGCAAACGGG